UGCAAAAGAUGGUCAGAAGGAAGCCACAUGCAUUGACACUUUAUGCUAUGAAAUAAAAUAUUACACACAGCAGUUUUCUGAAAACAGGCUUGUCAGUCAGCUCAUCGAGUUUCUGUAAAGCUUUAUUACUCCCCAAUCAUGGCUCUAAACAAAGAAAUCUAAAUUACAGAAAGCAUUAGGAGAAAUAUGCAUAUUCACUUCAGUCCCUUAAGAGAUACCUAUCAAAACAGCACAGUGUUACAUGCUGCUGGUGUACAAUCAUAUCACUCCUUCCUGAUUCUAAUAUACAGUUUAAUUCUGAGGUUGUCUUCUUGUCAAAUCAGUCAAUUAUCCAAAUGGGUUUUAAAUUACAUGUUGUGCUUUAUGACACUUUGGAGAAAGAUUUUUUUAAAGCAUCUUUCAAAAUCCAACCCCAUGUCAACAACAAGCGACAAACUUACUAUAAUCGCUUGUUUUUCUUUAGGAGAGCAAGUAUCAUCCUAACAUGUUCAAUUUUAUGGUGCAUAAAAUUAGUGAUGCUUAAGUGUUUAUUUUAUACCCAGAACCAGAUGACAUAUAGGUAAGGCUAAAAUACUGAAAAAUUAUGCAGAUGCAAAAUCAGCCUAGUGUCUACCUGAGGGACAGAAGGACUCCAAGGCCUUCUAGGCUGCAGCAAAUUGCAUUUCCAUUACAGCUGAAAAUGAAGUUGUCAGAAUUCAAGCAGUGAAUGCCACCACAAAUACAGCUUUUCUGUCCAUUGAAAUACAUUGUAAUCAAUGGGAUGGAUGCUCUUUAUGUGUCCCUGUUGACAGAAGUUGUGGGCACAGUUCAACUCAUUCAUUGCAUUAUGUAGCUCUGCAAACUUUGACCUUAGAAGGUCAUCUUAACUUUCCAUCUGGGACCCAGCUGGCUGGCAAGUUCUUUCAAAACUUCCAUCAUUCUGCCCUGACAUGUCUGGGUGGAGAACAGUCACAAAACAGUUGUAUCAAGCUGGUUUUUUUUCUCUCCCUCCAUCUUAAUCAUGAAUGUUUUUCUCUUUGUUGUUAAGGAAAGAAGUGUCCACCACUUUAGUAUUUUUGGGCAAGACUGAGGAUGCUGGUGGAGGGAUGCAUAGGAACAAAAGUUUUAAGGAAGCAUACCCAUUUUAUAGAGAUUUCUCCUUAAAUCCACUUCAAGGUAUCCCUGUUUUCUAAGGAUGCUUAUCCUCGUUUCCUUUUUGGUGUUUGUACUAAUAGCUGCCUUUUCCAGUACAAAUAUCAUUAUUUGUUCUACAUUAACAAUCAUCAUUGGUCUCUGGAGCUUAUAUAUUACAUGAAAAUACAGAAAAAUGAGAAUGGUAAGGGGAAGAGGCAAAUUGGAGUUAAAUGAGAUUCUUAUGGGGCUGUGGGGGAUUCUCAGUCCCACUGGUAUUUGUGUGACCUAGGCCUUGAGUUGCAUGAAGUUCUAGUUUUUGGUAUAGAAGGUCUUUGAAAGCUAGGCAGAAAAAAAGUUAAGGACCCUUUUUCUAGGAUGGCAUUUUAUGAUUUGCCUUGGUAUGGUACCUUCCCCCACAAAGCUUGUAAUCCGAUUACUUGAAGAUAGUGGGUUUGACUAGAAGUGUUUUUUAUUCCACUGAGUUCACUGCUUCACAUUGAAAAUAUCAAAAAUUAAAAACAAUGAGAGUAAAAACAGUAAAAUUCAAACUCCAAAACACAGUCAAUGAAAAGAAAUAUACUUUUGCUCCAUAAUAUGAGUCUGUGUAGGAAGUGAGAGGUGCAAUUCUUACCUUUGGGUCAACCUUGGAGAGGGUGUAGGAUUGCAGGUAGUUAGGUAACCUGAUCAUAAUGACCUUGGUCACUUAGAUACUCAUAGUUCCUGAGGCAACCUGUUGGGGCCUAUAGGAAACAGGGGGUCUUAAGGCUUUCAGGGUUUCUGUGGCCCACAGGGCAUCAGGCUUGACUCUUGACAAUGGUCUUUCCCCAGCUGAUGGGCUCAGGGCAUGGCUGAGGAUUCUUCCCUCAACUCACAAAUCUUCAUGCGAGUGGAGCCCUUCAAAGGCCAACUGGCCUCUGGGUCCUCAGUUUGUCCUCUUGAGCUUCGGCAGUGCUGUGCCUAUGGUAUCUAACAGAACGCACUGAACCCAAGCUCUGCAAUAAAUCAGCAGGCCAACAAGAUCAAGGAAGAAUGGAAUCAGCUGGCUGGACGGCAGCAAUAAAAAAUACAUUUCACUUUGCUGGUCAAAGGCCUGAAGCCAGAAGCAGGAAAUCUGGAAUUAAAUGUUUCUUGUAUCUGGAAAGAGGCAUGACUAAGCCAAGCUCCAUCUAAGACAAAUGUGGGCUCUGGAUGAAGAUCUCUACCAUUUCACAGUGUGAGUUUCAGUGGAGCAGAAAAAAAUUGGUGUGCAGUGUGUGAGGAGCUAAGUAUCAGUAACAGAGAGAGAUGAGAAAGAGGACUUCGGUGUCACCUUCCAACAGAUGAAGACGUGAACUCAAAGCUUUCAACAGCAAACCGUGGAAGGAGGUGCCAUACUGACAGGUAGGCCAUGGAGAACAAGUCAAUGGCAGGACCCACUUGAGGAAAGAAAAUGGUGGGAGAACACUACAUAGGUUCUGUGUAAAAGACUUAGCUUAAGCCAUGAACUACCAAGGGUAAACUGUCCCGAGUUCUUUGCAAAGGAAGUAGGUAUAAAGAGCAUCAUUUAUAUUCUACCCCAAGAUACCAAAAAGGUAUGCAGCCCCUUAUUAUUAACAACAAAACAUGGCCACUUGUCUUCAGAGAAAUCACUUCCUUAAGAGAAUGAUUAAUUUCCCAGGGGCUUCAUUUCUUACUCAGGGGGAGGCCAAAGAUGAAGAAGACCUUUUGAAGACACUAAUAGUCUCCAUUUGCCCCUGGAAGUGGCAGGAGGGGUGUUUCUUAGGCCCACUGAUGACUCUGAUACCUUCCAAUAGUCAUGGAGUGACCGUGAACCCAUCUAAGCAAUGGAAGGAAAGACGUGUUGGGAUCCAUCAAGUCGGUGGCUUGACUCUCAUGAAGGAGGGUCAGUGUGACAGAGGAAGGUCCAGGAUGACAGGUCCCUGAACUGAAGUUACACGGGCUGUGGGCAUAGGGGAUGAGGUCAGAGGGUGGGGAAAGAAACUUCUAGUUGUCUUAGUUAUUGAUUAGGCAUUACAGUAUUAAUAGCAGCUGGGUCAUGUAUUAAGUUCCUAAUAACACCAGGCACUUUGUAUACCUUAUCAUCAAUUUGUUGAGAAGGAAAAUGAAGUUAAGUGUGAAAUAACUAUUAAAGCACUAGUGAAAAGCAUAUAGCUAUUGUGCGCCAAAAUUUGAGUUCAAUUACGAUCUGCCUCUCUGACCUGUCUUCAUCUCAGCAAGGUAGCUGUGUAUCUUCAGACAUUAUCUGAGAAGCACCCACACUGGGAAGAUAAAAAUGAUCACUCCUGGGUUCCGGGAAGUCCAAGCUCCUCAGGCAAAGUCAGGGUGAGCACCCUCCUUUCCUCAGAGCCAGCAGACCUACAGAACAGACAUGUGGCCAUUCCACCGAGGGUCACGGCAGUCCCACGGGAGCACCCUACGGCUGGAGCACCGGCCACCGCUCCUCAUGCAGUACGCCAGGAUAACCAAGCCACGACUCUCCAAAAGGUGGAUGCACCGGCACAACCUGGUGUUGGACGGUAAGAGAAACUCGGGAAGCACGUCUCCCAGGAACCCCAGCCUGCAGCACCGAGCUCAUACCCUGUCUGAGGGUCCCACGGCCUCCCAGCUAGACUCUGCUCCUCGAGCGUCACUCCUGCAGUGCCUCCUUGCUUCUUCUCAGAGGGUCUAGACUGGCAUUAGUCAGUCCCAUAGCUUUCCAACGAAGACCACAUUGAAGAGAGCUGACAUGGAUUUAAGAAAGGCUGACUUUACAUCCCAGGGAUUAAAAUAUGUGCUCACAACAGAGGGCAUGGAUGGUGAAUAGCAACUCAGGCUUCCACGAUGCCCCAGCAAAGGUGGUAACAAUUCUCGAUUCAAAAACAAUGACUGACUCAGAAUCAAGUUGCAUGGAUCUGUUUCAAGGGCAGAUGAACAUUAUUUCAAGAAUAAUAGACAAAUAUAACUACAGUAUUUUCAACAUGAUGUGCAUCACCUCGCCUCAUGAAAGCAGGCAGGGUCCAUAUGUAAAAGCAGAUAAGCAACCAUUGCACUGAAUUCUUUCAUGUAAGUGAGAUACCACAGGCUUCAGAGCUUCUGAAAUGUUCAACAAUCUCCCCAAACAUGUAUCAUUUUGAUCCAACUUUGUAAUAACUUGUACGAAAACAAAAUGUUCCAAGAGGUUUUCAGUGGAAGAGUUAAGGAUAUAUUUUAAUGGUAAACAAUUACAUUCUUCUGUCAUCUGAUACUUUUUUUUCCCCCCUUUCUUUUUUGGAAACAUGCUUUCUGAAUUUUCAAUAGUUCCUUUGUGAAGGCAUCUGUUACUCACAUAAUUGAAAAGAUGUUUGUGCAGUGGCAUGCUUGAGAAUACAGUUAUUUAAUCUUAAUGAUAAAGCCCCGAGGACAGAAAAUCAUAAGUAGAAACCUCUUGUUAUUUAUCAAAAAGAAAAAGGGCUAAGACACCUAAUCUAUUCUCAAAUUUAAAUUCAUGCUUGAUGAAAACUAUCAAUAUAACCUGGAAUCUGCAGUUUCUUAAAUACUACAGUGGGGUUCAAAGGAGGUUGGGUGGGGGGAGUAGCAAGAAAACAAAAAUGAGACAAUAAAGGAACUUGACAAAGAAAAAACUGCUGUUUGGCAAGCCUUUUUUGGGUCAAACAAAGAACUUGCUGUAGUUUAUAGCAUGACAUACACACUUGAUUAGUUUGUGCCUGAGGGUGUUUUUACACUCAACAGUGUAAAUUCCAACUUCUAAUAAUUACAACUUGCAUUUAGAGGCAAAUUUAAGAAUUUUUAAGUAGAGAUUUUUCAACGGCUGUUGUUUAUUUAUUCAUUUUUUUGAAAACAGAAACCAGUUUUUCUACUCCAGGUCCUGGCUACGGUUUUGUUUUCCUUUUUAAAAGUUUCUUGAAAAAUCCAGGCAUUGGAAAGUUAUCAGAGCAUUUUAGGCAUGUUGAGCGAUACAGAGAGGUGCUCUUAUGAAACUACCUGACCGUCCUUUGGGGAGAAAUUCUUUACUGAUGAGAAGCUGCUCCAGGCAUAAGGGCUUACAUCCACCCAAUUCAGGUCCCUUAUAAGAACAAGCCUGAGGGGGUAUUGUUGGAAAAGCAACAGCAAUACCUUAGCCUGCUUAUGUCUCAACACUCUGUCUUAUAACAAUUUGGUGGUGGUGGUGGGGGGGUGUUGCUGGUUACCGAUAAGGGCCUUCUGUGUGUGUGGGGAAAAGGGAGGUGAGAGUGUCUGAGUGGUAGUGGUACAUAAGUGUUACCAACAGAGUGCCCCUAGGCCAGAGCCUCCAUUACCAAGACAGUGUUUACAAAGAAGAUGCCAAGUCCACAGACUGGCUGACCCUACAUGGAUGAGGAUGGCACAUGCUCUCCCUACUGGACCUCAAGGUAAGAGACUGAACAGACACUGAGAAGAUAAACUGUAAUACCUGCCUUUGGUGCAUCCAGCUUGGAAAUUCAGCCUUAGAACUCUACUGACAGCCCCUUCCAGCACCUCAUUCCCUACUUCUUUGUACAUAUAUCCUAGAGGAAACUGUCCUUUCUGUUUGGAUUUAAUUCAUUCAACCCCUAAUUCUUGAUAUGUUCAUGAUGCUAUAUUGGGUGCACCGGUAAGUCUCAAGGUAAGCUAAUACCACCUGGUCCUUGCCCUCAAAUAUAGUUUCUUUAUUGUUUUUGAGUUCUACAACUGAAUUAUUUUAAGCAGUGUAUGGUGAUCUACCUUAGAUUCUAACCUAAUCACUUUAAGAUCCAGUUUAUAAAUUGGUACAGCCACUAUGGAGA